rnacentral:lncRNA from 1 species
GCAAUCCCAUUGAGCUAUAAACGUCCAAAGCAGACCUCAUGUGUGCAAGAUCCGGUUUUCCAUAACCAAAACUACUAGUUUGCAAUCCGAUUCCUGCACGGAUCCUUGCAUUCCCAGGAUAUGCACGAAUUUCUUCAAAUCUCUUCAGGUAAUUGACAGGAUGUGCAGUUGUGUCACGGUUAUUUUCGACCGUGUUGUACUCGUUCAUGAACAAUCUAACAUCCGGAUCGAUCAGGUGAGCUUCCCUAAAGAAGUGUGCUGACGCAUCUUUCCCAAGUCUGUCCUCAAAGAAGCUGAAAUGAAGAUUCUCAUUAACCACAUCCCAUGCAAUGAGUUCCCCUUUGUACCUUGACACCACUGAUUCUAUCCUCUCUUCGGCAGCUUCUCGUAGUUGGGUCCCG